rnacentral:misc_RNA from 1 species
GGAAUUCCGUCUUUAUAAGCAAUCCCCCACGCUUUUCCAUGCCUACCAUCCUUAUAGAGAUUGAUCUUGGUGAUCUCAUAAGAGACUUUUUUCCAAUGAGAGCCAUGUGAUAACCAAUUCCCCAAUUGGGCAAAAACUGGGAGACCUCGAAUAGGUUCUUCUUCUUUUUCCGCUUUGGUUUCUGGGAAGACGAAGCAGUGGAAGAGGGAUUAGCCGAGGAAGAAGAAGUGUUUAAGCUUUUAAGGAAGUUGAAAGACAAUCUGAAGAAGCAUAGGGUUUGAUUAGUUGCUGAUGUCCUGUUUACGAGACUUGUCGCCAUUUUUUUGGAUAUUAUGUAAUGCUUUGCUUACUCUCUUCUCUGAAAUGGGGUUUUGCUGCUGAGCGAGUCCGUC